rnacentral:lncRNA from 1 species
UUUUUUUUUUUUUUUUUUAUGAAUAUAUAGUAGAAGUUGAACUCUUUCGAUUAAUUCAUAUAUUUUACUUCUGAUUCUCCUCAAUAAAAAUUCUGCCUUCGCCAAUGUCUAAAUCAUAUAUGAACUAAAAUUAGAAUUUAAUAAUAACUGACGGAUCAAAAUUAUAAUUUAAAUAUAUUGGGCAAAAACGAUAAUCUUUAAAGAUGAAAUGGCCUUUUCAACUGCGUUUCAAAUACGAUAAGAAUUUAAAUAUUUUAUACAUGAAAACUAAUUAUUUUAUCUCAAACUUUUUUGAAUAAAAAAAUAAGAAGAAAGUGGGAAAUGUGUGUUGGACAGAUUGGAUUCUUUGUUUGCCUAUUCAUCUAAAAAAGGAAUAAAAACAGGUAGACUUAGAUUUAAUCAAAAUACACACACAAAAUAAUAAUAAUAAUAAUAAUAAUAAUAAUAAUAAUAAUAAUAAUAUUAUUAUAGUUAUAUAUAAUUAUUUUUAGAUUUUCAAGAAAAAAUCAAAAUGACAACUAAUUUACAGUAACUUUACCAACCGUCCCUUGAUUCUUAGUGACAACUUUUUUCUUUAAAAUAAAUUCUGAUUAUUGUUAAAACUUUCUAAUCUUACAAGUCAACUAUUUUAGGCAAUUGCUUGUUAUGUUGUUGGGGUGAAAUCGUAAGUAUUUAUUUAUUUUUAAUUAAAAAUAAUUAAAAUGUGAGUUUUCAAAAUUAAAUUAUCUAUGAUAGAAAAAUCAUAAGCAUUCGAAAAUAAAAUUACCUUUGACAAAAAACAUUUUAUUCUCGUAAUAAGAUUUAAUAACACAAUUUAAAUUAAAUAAAAUUUAAAACGAAUACCAAACAUCGAGUUAAAUAAUAAUAAUAAUAUAGUUAUCCCUUGGUAUAAUGUCUUGGUGAACGAUAAAUAAAUAUACCGCAAUUUACGCACUUUGUCUUUUUUUCUUUCUUUUUUUCUUCCCUUUUAUAAGGGUAGAAAAUUAAUUAUUGUUGUGCCCAAGAAAGAUUUUUGGAUAUUUGUCUUAUAGUCUUUGCAUUUUUUUAUUCUUUUUGAGCAAAAUAAAAAAUUAUGGAUAUUAAAACUGAUUUCUGUUCAUUUAUUUUUGAAACAUUUGUUUAAAAUAACCAUUACAAUAAUUAAAAAAAUCGUGAUCACAAUUAAACAAUUUGACUAAAUUAUAUUAUACAAUAUUAAAAAAAUAAUUUGACAUACAAAUCAUCUCAAAAAAAUUGUGUAAUACAAGUAUCAUUAAUUAUUUCAACGUGACCUAUUAAUCAUCCGAAGAUUAAAUUAUAUAAUUUGAAAGUAAAUUAACAUAAGAAAGUAUAUCAGCUUUGAUAUUUCUGCUACAUCUUCGAAAAUAACUUGAAAAUAUUUCUAAAGAUAUCUUCAUAAGAAAAAGUAUAUGAUAUAUUUUUAUAGUUAACUAGUUUUAAAAUCUUUAUUUCUUUUUAUAAUAAAAAAAUACUUAUUCGUUCAUAAUUAAUUGCGAUAUAAAUUUAAAUUAAUCGAGAGUUUACCAACCAAUGGUCAAUGCAUAAAAUGUAAAUUGCUUUUGGACACAAUUAUAUUUACUGAAUGAAUGAUUAUAUCACAUGCAAAAAGCAAAUAUUAAUAUAUUAAUAUCAACUCCAAACAUUUUAUAAAAUCAUUUUGCAUUUCACAAGCCGCCAUAAAAAUUUAAAGUUUUGUCAUAAUUAAUCUCCUUUUAGAUCUAAGUUUUUUUUUUUUUUAGAAAGUUUCAAAUUUAAUCAUGGUCUUUUUUUUCCCUAUUCUAUUAUUAUCUAAUAUAUUUCGUCAAGCGAUAGUUACUUAUGAUUUAAAACUUAAUAGAUAAUUUAUUUAUUUUUUUAUACUUUUUUUUAUUAAUAAUAUUAAAAAAUCUAUUGGUAUCCAAAAAUAAAUACGAAAUAAAGCAAAUCAAGAUAAAACUUUUACUUGUCAAAAUUAUAUGCAUCUUUUAAUAAUAAACAAAUCCAAUUUGCUAGUUCUUUGUUUUGGUCGGUAGCAAAUGAGAAUUAUUCUUACUUAGUGUUUGAAUAUUUUAAUAAAAAUAAUACAAAAUAAAUAAUUAUUAUAUACUUGUAUUACUUGUUUGGAUGGUUGUAUAGUGGGUCAUUAGUUUAUUAUUUUCUUUCUCAUUUUGCCUUUAUUUAAUAAUUUUAUUUCACCUUUUAUCCUACGCUUUUACAAUAACGUAAUUAAUAACUCUACUCCUUAUUCUACUUUUAAUUAUAUUUAUUUUUUAAAUUAAAAAUAAAUCUGUUUACACUAGAUUUUUGUAGUACGACCUCCCUCCAAAUUUCAUACAUAGCAGAAAUUUUAAUGUACCGAAUUGCCCUUAUGUAUGACAUUAUAUAACGAUAGAAAACGAUAAAAUCUAUUCAAAAUACUAUAAUAUGAUACGACACAUAACGAAAAAUAGUAGCCGUUUGAUUAUGAAAAUUAUUCACUUUUUUUCGAAGAAUUAUUUUAUUUUAGUGAAAACAAGAGGCGUUUGGCCGUACAAAUUUCAAAUACAAGUUUUACUUGUUUUCCCUUUUUUUCACUCAUACUUUUCUCACAAAAAUUCAAAAACAACUUUAAUUUAUAUUUAUGGUUAAACACAACUCCAACUUCAAAAAAUUAUAAUUUUCAUAGUCAAACGGGGCCAUAACAUCUAUCCAAACAAGCUUAAUGAGGAAAUGACAGUUUGGUGCAUUUAGACCCAAAAUCUUGGAGUAACUGGUAAAACUACUGUCAUGCGAUCACGAUUUUAAGCCUGCGAACCAACCUCUUACAGAAAUGCAAUAUAAAAUCGCGUACAAUAUACUUUUGUGAUAGGACUCUUCCUCAAACACUGUGUAAAGCGAAAGUUUUAAUGCAAUGAACUGCCCUUUAGACCCAAAGAACAAUCACACCAUAAGAGUCAAUUAGUUGCAAUUUUUCGCUCUUAUAUGCACGACUUAAAUCCAUAACCUCCAAAUCACAACAACAAAGAAUUAGCCUCCCCAAAUUUAAUCAAAAUUCAACUUUCAAUCUUUUACAAUGUACAAUUUGUAGGUCAAAGUUGGUACUUUCCAACCUUUCUUUGUGUUUUGUAGACUUGUUACUUCUUUCCCUCCAAACCAAGAACCCCAAAAACCCUUAAAACUCUCUCCCCUUUUUUCUUAUGUCAAUUUUUCCAUAAAAUUAUACUUCAAAAUACUCUCUAUGUGACAAAAUUUUCAAGAAUUUCAACUCCAAAAGUCGUAAAAAAAUUGAAAAUUCAACAUAUACAUGUUACCAUUAUCAAGAAUGAAGUCACUCUUUUGCCCAUUAAUUUCAAAACCCACCACCAUGUUUGUAUGUAGGAGAUAUGGGGUUCUUAGUACUUUCAAGAACCUUAAUUAUGCUCAAACAGUGAACCCCAUGAGUAAAGUUUGUACCUUUAGAUGUUCUACUGUGCAAAACUGUAGUCAAGUUAGGGUCUUGAAUAGUGAGUCAUUGGGUAAGAGUGAGGGUUCUGGUGAGGUUCAUGUGAUUGUUGGUCCUAUGUUUGCUGGAAAAACUACUACUCUUUUGAAGAGGAUUAAGUCUGAAAGAAGUAAUGGCAGGUUAGCCACUGUGUAUAUGGUUGUUACGUAUUGUUUCAUAAUGUAUUGUAUUGUAUCAUACUGUAUCUUAUCUUAUCUUAUUGUUUUGUAUUGUAUUGUAUCGUAUCGUAUCGUACUGUAUUGUAUCAUACUGCAUUGUGUCAUAUUGUAUUGUACUGUAUUGUAUCGAACAAUACUGUAUCAUACUGUUUUGUAUUGUAUUGUAUCAUACUGUAUCUUAUCUUAUCAUAUUGUUUUGUUUUGUAUUGUAUUGUAUUAUAUCGUACUGUAUUGUAUCAUACUGUAUUUUGUUUUAAUGAAUCUGUGCCUCCUUUGGUUUUGUGUCUUGGUUUUAUAGGUAAUGAAAUGCUUGUGCCUCCUUUGGUUUUAUAUACUCACUCCGUUUCAAUUGAAGAGGAUUAAGUCUGAAAGAAGCAAUGACAUGUUAGUCUUUGUUUGUACUAUUGAUACAUAUUAUUUCAUAAUGUAUUGUAUGCAUUAUAUUGUACUAAAAAAGGGCCUAGUGCAGUAAAGCUCCUGUUAUGUGUGGGAUCGGAUGAAGGGCCGGACCACAAGGGUCUAUUGUAUUGUUUUAAUGAAUCUGUUCAUCAUUUGGUUUUGUGUCUUGGUUUUAUAGGUAAUGAAAUGCUUGUGCAUAUUUAUUCUCUGACUUUAAUAUAUACUCACUCCGUUUCAAUUUGUUUGUCUAGUUUUGACUUGGCAAGAAGUUUACUUUUGAAUGUCAUGGUCUUAAACUAAAUAGAACAGUCUCUCUACCUCCAUGAGACAGUGGUGAGGUCUGCGCUCACUCUACCCUCCUCAGACCUCACUUGUGGGAUUUCACUGGGUAUGUGUUAUUGUCUUGGUCUUAAACUAAAUAUAUGUUGAAUGUAUCAAAAUGUGUUUAAUCUUGUGGUUUCAAACAUGCCAUGUUGAAAGUUAGAAUUAAAGAGUUGCCAAAAAACGAAGAGGCUUUCCUAAAAAGGAAAUUUAGGCAAACAAAUUGAAACAGAGGGAGUACUAUUCAUAUGUUGGAGUAGAAAGUGCGCCUCAAUGUUUUUUUAUGCCAUUGUAUAAAUAACAUAGUGUCUGUUUGGCUUUCGCACAUGAGGAUUAUCUACUUAACUACUUACUUUAUGGUAUCUUAUACCUCACACAACCUUUGUAUAUCUUAUAUGAGUAGGAAUUUUUGACUAGUAUCCUUAAGACUUUGAUACACUAUAUGUGCCUUAAAAUGAAACAUGAAUGAUGUAUGUGUGUGGUGCGUCUAGGGAUGUGGUUGGGCAAGAGUUAACGUGGGAGUCCCGACUUAGUCAUUAUAUCAUCUUCAAUGAGGGUGCUUUUUUCUUGGUUUUAUUUCACACUUGGCGUUCAAAUAAGCAAAUUGUUGGUAUUUAUUUAAAAAAAUAGCAAGUUGUUGCGUCACUAAAGUUCCAUUGCUCCAAGGCGCCAAGUUUUCUUUCUGCGUCGUGGACUUGGUUCCUUUGCAGUUCUUAGAUGUUAAAAGCUUAGGAAUUUUUCUUGUUACUCAACCUUUCUUCUUUCUCGUUGAUAGAUUGUUCCUUUUUUUCUGAGUUUUUGUUGUUCUUGAAUUGUUUUUUUUUCUGUUUACUUUGCUUUCUUUCCGCGGUGUUGAAAUUUCCAUGCUCUUUGGCUCUCUCAUGUAGAGGAGGUAAAAGUUGGACCAUGUUUUCAGAUGAUAUUCAAAUUGAAAUCAUGACUGGUAAUAUUCCCAGUUUUCAGGCCAAUGGUGUAAAGAAUUCCCUCUAUUUGGAUGAGACGCUAAAAGGACUCUGUUUCUCGGGAAGGGUGGCUGAAGCAUUUGGAAUAUUGUGCCGCUCUGGUGUACAGGUGGAGGCAGAAACUUAUUCCCUUGUUCUGCAAGAGUGCAUUUUCCGCCAAGCGUAUAAGAAAGGGAAAAGAGUCCAUUGGCAAAUGAUCACCGUCGGCUUUGUUCCAAAUGAGUAUCUGACUGUUAAGUUGCUAAUUUUGUAUGCAAAAGCUGGAGAUUUGGAUACAGCACACAUUAUAUUUGAUAAGUUGCAAUUCAAAAGCCUGAUUUCGUGGAAUGCUAUGAUUGCUGGAUACGUGCAAAAGGGCAUGGAGGAAGUAGGCCUGAGUAUGUACCAUAAUAUGAAACAGAGAGAUGUACUUCCAGAUCAGUAUACCUUUUCAUCAGUCUUUAGAGCCUGUGCCUCUUUAGCUGUCCUCAACCAGGGCAAGCAAGCACAUGCGUUGUUGAUUAAAAGCCAAAUUAGUGGAAAUAUUGUAGUUAAUAGUGCGCUUAUGGACAUGUAUUUCAAGUGUAGUUCUCCGUCUGAUGGCUAUCUUGUGUUUAGUAAGUCCUUGGAAAGGAAUGUGAUAACAUGGACUGCUUUGAUAUCAGGGUACGGACAAAAUGGAAGAAUAAAAGAUGUUCUGGAAUCAUUUCAUAGGAUGAUAGAUGAAGGAUUUAGGCCAAACCAUGUUACGUUUCUUGCAGUUCUUUCUGCUUGUAGCCACGGAGGUCUGGUAGAUAGAGGUAAGGAGUAUUUUUCAUCUAUGAUGAGAGAUUAUGGGCUUCGACCAAGAGGAAAACAUUAUGCAGCUAUUGUGGAUCUUCUAGGCCGUGCUGGAAGAUUACAAGAGGCUCAUGAGUUUGUCAAAAACUCACGUUGUGGAGAGCACCCAGUAUUAUGGGGUGCCUUACUUGGGGCUUGUAAGAUUCAUGGAGACAUCGAGAUGGUAAAACUUGCUGCUAGAAAUUUCUUUGACUUGGAGCCGGAGAAUGCAGGCAAAUACGUUGUCUUGUCUAAUGCUUAUGCUUCUUUUGGUUUGUGGAACAAUGUUGCGGAGAUAAGGAGACUGAUGAAGGACACGGGAGUGAAAAAGGAGCCUGGUUAUAGCAUGAUUGAGAUUCAAAGACAAGCACAUUUCUUCUUUAUGGAGCAUAAUGCUCAUGAACAGACUGAUGAGAUAUAUAAAUUGGUCAAAGAUAUGGCAGGUAUAUUAAAAGACGCUGGCGAUGUUCCAGAGUUACUGAGUUAAGGGGAAAGGACCAACAUCAAUAUAGGUUGAAUUAUUUGGUUGAAUCCCUAGCAUUUAACUGCAAAGUGGAAAGACUAACAGUUGAACAUAGAAAGGAAAACAGGCUUCAGCCUUUUUGCUUCAAGUAGAGAAUGCACUUUCUAGACAUAAGCCUUACUUUCCUGGAAUCUGUGACCCUUCAUCAGAAUUGUUCUUGGGAGAUGAUAUUUGCCUCUGAAUGCAAGAAUUGGAUUGUGUUCUCUCACGGUUUCAGCUGAUGCAAGAUGGUGCUUUGUAGAAAGCGGGGGCUUGCUAUUUGCUUAUAUAUGAGGAACGUGUAUGUGAUACAGACCAAGGAGAGGAUCGGCUUCAGCGAUGUUCUAGGUUUACGGGAUGUGGUUUUUAGUAAAACAACAACAUACCCAGUGUAAUCCCACAAAGUGGGGUCUUGGUAAAACGACUAUAUCAAAGAAAACAUAUUCUCUUAAGGUCAUUUUGGACUAUGCAGCACUUAUUUUACUUGCAGUUGCAGUCGUGCAUACUUUUUGUUGUGCUUUCUUAUGCUUCCGGUUGAAGACAAAAAUAAACUUGAACUUUCAGUUCCUUCCCUGUUGAACUGCAGUUUGUGUGAGGAUGUAUCUCUUCUGUAGCCAACCACACAGAAAAGUAGAACCAGCAUAUCUAUUUCCUUUUAUUCAAUUGAUGAAAUAAUUCUGAAGGAGAUCGGUCCUAUAUAUUGUGUGGAAUUGUGGUUACCAUACUAUAUGUUUUGUUCUGAGAUGGUUUGUAUGAAUUUUGUUCAGAUUCUUUCUCAUCAUGUUCCAGGUACUGGAUAGACCCCAAGAGGGUUAAGGUUAUAGGCGCAUGGCUAUCUAAACCAAUUUCUCUGGAGCAUCCAUUGUUCUUUUAGUCAACUGCACAUAAUUCUUUAUUAUAAUAUCUUUUUUAUCACUGUUCUGUAUGUUCCAUUCUUUACACGAAAAUUUAUGAAGUUACAAAUUACCUUCUAGAUAUCAAAAGUUCGAUAUUAGAAUUAAGGACAUAUAAUUCGGAUCCACGAAGCAUGCAAACUUGUGAGUUUUGAAGUACUGCUUGAAUUUUGUUGUUCUUGAUAGAGAUUUAAGGCUUCCUGAUGUUCUCAUAUGAUUGUCUGAUUUAAUUUUUGUGCUAUUUCCCUCUCUGCAGAAGUGUAGCAAUUAUAAAGUCGGACAAGGAUACAAGAUAUGGAUUGGAUUCCAUCGUGACACAUGAUGGGGACAGAUUGCCAUGCUGGCCUUUAGCUAAUCUAUCGUCCUUCAAACAGAGAUGUGGUCCUGAAGCAUAUAGUAAGGUAACACCUCAACAGGAAGCCGUUGAGAUGUGAAUAUAUUAGAUGAUUAGCGUAGGACCUUCUCAACGCAUAGUGUCAGGGGUGCUAGCAGCCUAGCAGCGUUAGCAACAGAAAAUAUUCUCCAAAAUAUGGGGCAAAGAAGUCUAUUUCUGAGUGCGUUUUUCUGUUUUUUUUUUCUCUUAAAUUUAAAGAGUAAGAUUUUACUUCUUGAAUAGUUUGGGGCUCCACCCCUCGAAAUCUACUCCUAGCUGUGAGGGGAAAUGAUAUAAUCACGAAGCUCUUUUUUGUAAGUUGGUCACCGAACUUUCUUUGCUAGUAUGUAGCAAUACUGUAUUAUGACUUCUAUCAUCGCUCAUUUUUCUUUGUAUAUGUGACUAUCCUUUUGUGACUGUUACAUGGUUUCAGUUAGAGGUCAUUGGCAUCGACGAAGCUCAGUUUUUUGAGGAUCUAUAUGAUUUCUGUACUGAAGUUGCUGACCGUGAUGGCAAGAUUGUGAUAGUUGCUGGGUUGGAUGGUGACUAUCUAAGGUACUACUUCCGUUUAGUCUCUUAAUCAGAUCGAUUUCUUUCUUUGUUAAGAAGUGUGCUGUUUCUGCUUCAAUACUUCAGAUGUUCCGAAUGUCUGUUUACUAGUGUAGUCAUUCCGUAUGUGAUUCAUAUUUCGGGUUCUGCAGAAGAAGCUUCGGUUCAGUCCUUGACAUAAUACCAAUUGCUGAUUCCGUGACCAAGCUUACUGCCCGAUGUGAACUUUGUGGUGAACGUGCUUCUUUCACCUUGAGGAAGACAGAGGAGACGAGGACGGAGUUGAUUGCAGGAGCAGAAGUAUAUAUGCCCGUGUGCCGCAAGCACUAUGUGAGUGGACAAGUAGUCAAAGAGGCUGCUAGAAGUGUUCUCGAGUCUCAGAAGAUCGAAUGCAGCUCUAUUUUGUAAUAUCUCAAGCGCCACUCGUCUUUGCAGUAUAAUAGGGAUCUUGGUGCAACUUUUCUUGUAUGAAGCGCACGCUCGAUGUAUGUGUUGGUGGGAGGUUGUUAGUGUUCGGUGGAAUAUUUGAGGUGCGAGCAAGUUAUCUCGGACACCAUAGUUAAAAUAUACUAUUGUACUACACGCAAAAACUCUUACAAAAUGUUUCGACCAAAGUACCAGCUACAUUGAUUUGCAUCACAUCUCAAAUUUCACCUGUGUUACAAAGUACUAACAAAAAGAGACAAUAUUACACACAAGUAACAUAAACAGAAAAAAACACAGAAACAAGAUUUGUCUUCAUCCUCUACAUUGUCUUGCAUCUUGAUUUAUAUAUUCGAAACUCUCUGAUAAACUGGAUUUAGAUUUCUGAUACUGAUGAUCACAUGUUUCCCAGGAUUGUUGUUUACAAGAACCGAGCUACGUGCCAUUAGAACCCUCGCUAAAGCUUGAUGGCGCGUUUCCUCUCUAUAUUCCUGCAAAUAUAGAAAGAAAACAAGUCUUAAAUCAGCUUUUACAGAUGUGUUGUUAUAGAGACGUUUGACUGUAUAACUUACCUUAGUGGAUUGCAAUGCUUUCUGAAUGACAUAAUUGCCGAAAGGAUCUUUGGCAAGUUGAACUAGUGUUUUUGCAUCAGAUAGAAGAACAUCGACUACUGAAAUCAUUCCGGAUUUUCCAGACUGUAUGCAUCUCUCAACAACAUGACUACCACCUCUUUUGAAGGCUAAUGAUAAGUACUGCUUCUCAAGUUGACUGAAUAUCUUACGCGAAAUCUCUUCGUCCCCGAGUUCAAGAACAUGCUGCACAACAUAGUUCCUGUUGUAUAACAACAACAACACACAGAUUCUUAACAUAAACCAGAAACCAGCCAACAAUAUUGAAGCAUACUCUUGUCGUUAGCAAAUCGUCUCUUAUCUGCUCUUGACUGUAAGGGAGGUAGUUUAUUACGCGGUAUUUUGACGCGUUAAAGUGAAGGUCAAAUACAAGACGAUUUGCUUAUGGCGAGUAGAUGCAGAAGGAAACUGUAUACUACUACUUACCCCCAAGGAUCAUGGGCAAAGUAACCUGACUGGCUUGCGAUUUUUUCGAGUAGUUCCUUCUUGAGAGGGUUAGUGAUACAGUUGAUGCAAACAUUCAAAGAUGCACAGCCACUUUCACUUGUAGCCAACUCUUUGAAACAACUAAUAACUCUCCGAAACAGAACCUGAUAUCGAUAAGCAAACUCACUAGGUGAGGCUAUAACCUAUUGCUAAAACAGAAAAACAUAUGAAAACCAACCAAAAUAUGUAGCAAGUUUACCUCAUUCUGCUUCUCAUUCAAGACAUGAAAACACUGUUCAACGACGUAUCGUCCUGUUCGAUGAGUCAUCAGUUCAACUAACUUCACAGACACAAUUUCUGAACAAUACUUUGCCAAUGGCUUCUUUUUUAGGCUUUUAAUCAGCAUUUGAAUGGCCUUUGAACUGUAAACAUGUUGAGCAAACCAAUAUUCAGUUGGCGAAAACAGUUCUUUUUAAGUACUUAAAAAACAAAACUCUACUCACCCAUGUCUCAUAAAGGCUGUCUGCGCAAACAAGUCCACGCGCAAGUGAAAUGUACAGAGAAUUUGUUCCAUCUGCGCGUCGUUGCAGAACUCAACAAGUUUUAGGAAGAAAGAAUGUCCAGAAUCGUCGAUCAUCACCUCAAAGAAGGAAUCAAGAACAUCAUUAAGUAUCCUUUGUUUGUAGUGAUAGUUAUUCAGCUCAAGAAGUUUUUCCAAUAUUCGCGAUGAUUUUGGAUUUUUAGCCAGCUUGACUACGUCGAAUCCUGGAUUUGGAAGAUAACUAUAGCACAAUGCUGCAACACUCUGAUUCAACAAGUCAUUAAAACACAUUGAAUGACCUUCAUUAGUCCAAUUGUUAUAGCCUAAUGGAAGUUCAUUAUGAUCUGCACAUUCUUGAAAUCCAAUGCAGCUGUUAUUCGACGUGUUAUGGCUCGACUUUUGACCGAAAAUCGAUUGAUUCAUUGAAUUAUAUGUUGAGGAAGAUCCAUAUUCAUUGUUAGUAGUACUUUUACUUAUAUCUGCAGAAUCCAAUAUGCUUUUUUGUGAAGACUUGGUGCUUGAAACUGCAGAAAAAAAAAUCCAAGAAAACCAAGAAUCUUGAGUAUAUUCACAAGAAAGUACUAACUACAAUAGUCUAAUGUUGCUCGGACUCUCCAAAAAUACACUACUUUUAGAGAAUCCGACACACAUCCGUCGACAAAAGACUAAAUGACUCUCCAAAAAUACACUACUUUUAGAGAAUCCGAUACUCAUCCGCCGACAAAAGAGUAAAUGACUCUCCAAAAACACACACUACUUUUAGAGGAUCCGAUACACAUCCGCCGACAAAAGAGUAAAUGACUCUCCAAAAAUACACUACUUUUGGAGAAUCCGACACGCAACCGUCGACAAAAAAGUCAGAGCUACAUAGCUUUAUACUUAAAGAAUUUUGAACAUAUUGCCCAGAAAAUACUAAUACCUAAAAAAUAACAUAAAGUUGUGAACUUUAAUACUUAAAAAAUCUUGAUAUUUUUUGACAAUCAUGGUGUCCAAACGAGCUUGCACGCACGAUCUUGAAUAUACAGGCAAGAAUGCACUAAUUUGAAAGAACAAUAACAUAGAGUUGUGAACUUUAUACGUUGUGAACUUUAAUACUUUAAAAAUCUUUUUUUUAAACAACCGCGGUGUCCGAACGAGCUUGCACGCACAAUCUUGAAUAUAUUUGCAAGAGUGCAACAAUAACUUUAUACUUAAAACGUGUGUCUAAGCCAGCUUGAAUGUACCUCGACUAUGAAGAAAUCUUGAAUAUAUUGGCAAGAAAGUACUAAUUCAAGAAAAAUAACAUAAAGUUGUGAACUAUAGACUUACUUCCAUUGUGAGGAUUAUAAUUAUCAUAAGCCCAAAUAUUUGAAGAAUUUGUUGAUGGCCAUAAUGAUUGAGCCAAUGAAAAAUUUGAAUCAUUGCAAAAAUAGCCACUAUUGUUUAUUAAAGGAUCAGUAAUUUCAUGAUCAGAACUUGUUAAAUUUUUUCCCAAGUUAAAAUCUUGAAAAGAAAGAAGCAAAUCUUGAUAAUUCAUUGGACAUUUGUUGUUUGAAUUCUCCAUGAGAAAGAGAAGAUUUUUUUUAUUUUUUUUUGGAAAAAAAAAUUAGUUGCUAUUGAGAACUUGUUUUGUGUUUAUAUAGGAAAUAUAUUUUGUGUUAAUUGUCUAAUUCGAGUAAGAGUGGGAUUGAAAAUUUUCCAAGUAAAUUAAUAAUUUAGACACGUUUUUAUGGAAGUUAAUUAUUUAGAAAAAUAGGUUUUAGAAUUAUUGUUAAUCCUAUUGCUAAUAUUUUCCUAAAAAAGAAAUAGUAGAAAUUUGGUUAUUUUUGUAAUAAGAAGAAUUGAAAACCUUGUCUAAUUAAAAUAGGUAAAGUCAAGAGGGAAUUCGAUUAGAAUAUAAACUUUGAUAAUUUAUAUUAUGAAUUUGUAGACGAUUAGAGAUAAAUAAAACCUUUUACAAGUAAAAUUACUCGUUGAAAAUUAUGUUAAAAGAAACCUAGUAUACAAUAGCGGGAUGCUACCGCUCAUAUUUAAGAGAUAAUAGAAACUUUUGCACAACUACGAGAUAAUGAAAACUUUUGCAUAACUACAGACCGCCAAUUAUAUAUUCAGAACCAGGUCCAUAUAACUUUACCACCCCAAUAUAAAUUUACUGUUACUGUAUCUUGAUUCAUUCUUAAUACAAGAAACGAGAGUAAGCUGAAACAAGAGUAAAUACUCGAGUUGAAACGAGAAUAGCUGAAACGGGAGUGUAGAGCUUGGAGUUGAAACGAAUAACUCACAACGAGAAACUGCUUAAAUAAUGAAACAAAACUAUGCAAAUCGCUGGACACCAUGCGACUUGAAAUAAUGAAACAAAACUAUGCAAAUCGUUGGACACCAUGCGACUUGAAAAUCGCUGGACACCAGGCGACUUGCAAAUCGCUGGACACCUGGCGACUUGCAAAAAUAACUGGACACCAGGCGAUUUGCAGAUUGCUGGACACCAUGCGACUUGAAAAUCGCUGGACACCAGGCGACUUGCAAAUCGCUGGACACCUGGCGACUUGCAAAAAUCACCGGACAUGACUUGCAGAUUGCUGGACACCAAGCGAUUUGCAGAUCUCUGGACACCAGGCGACUUGCAAAUCUCUAGACACCAGGCGACUUGCAAAUCGCUAGGCACCAUGCGAAUUGCAGAUCGCCGGACACCAGGCGACUUGCGGAUCGCCGGACACUAGGCGACUUGCGGAUCGCCAGACACCAUCGAUUUGUAAAUCGCUCAGCCACCAGCAUUGUGUUCCCUUUGAUUUCUUUUCAAAUCAAGUGCCCUCUUUGAAAUUUUUUGUAGAAAAAUAGCCCUUCUGAAUCCGAACUCAAUGAAAUAUCUGUAUAAGGAAAUUUGUAAUAUGAGAGAUCAAAGUACACAAAGGAGGUUUACAAAUUUCUACUGUUCAAUUACUUCUCUUGGCAUUUGAUUGUAAUGUACUACACCAAGAAAAGAUCAACAUUUACAAAAGUUCAAUCCUUAAAGUUAUUACCAACAACAACAAUGCAGCUACAAUCUUCAAUUUGCAUUAAGCGAUCGCGCCAGACGCUUAACUUCAGUUAACCUCAUGCCUCGUCUCGAUCUACCUGAAUAUCAUUGAAAAUUUCAGUGCGAUAGGGGUCUGGGGAGGGUAGAGUGUACGCAGACCAUACCACCACCUCAGGAGAAAACCAAGAAAACAGAAAAUGAAAAACGAAAACAUUGAAACUUACUCUCUGUAAUCACAUUGUCACUGGACAUCAAAUUGGUCCUAGCAGUUUCUUGAUUGUCACUUGAAAGAGAAUUCAACAAUCUUGCAAGAUGUCUUAUUUGAUAUAAUGGUAGAAUAUUUGUACUUGUUAGCACUUUACACCUCCUUUCUUCAACUCCUAUUGAAUCAUAAAACAAAAAUAGUUGAAGAAAUAUACGAAUCGCGCAUCAACUUAGGGACCUGGUCCCAAACUAACCUAUGCAAUAAUGAACAGGGUUAAACUGAAAGAGUAAAACCACGACCUACCAUGCAGGACUUCCAAUCACUUCACUAUGUUCAAGCAACCUCGAAUACAAACUCCAUGCAAUAACUGUAUUGCACUUAUUGACACAGCUAACUCUAACUGAAUCAACAACGAGAACACGAUAUGAACACAUCUACGAUUGAUGGACAAGAAAAGUAGGUUGAGCGUUUACAAACCACAAAACAAAGACUCAAAAUACAACAAGAGCUUGAGACACGAAUGACAACUGAGCAGGUCCCUGUUGCAAGUGAGACUUUAGUUGAAGGAUUUGCUUCAAAAGAAAUUUGAUGUUCUUUGCAAAUGAAAUAUUAGGUUUUUUUGUUGUAACAUGUUGCAUAUAUACGAGACAAGAAAACCUAGGGCUUCUCUGAUUGGCUGGAGCGAAAAGGCACUGUAGCUUUUCCACCUACUUCCUGCCACCCGGUACUUUUACAGCUGUAAUGCUGACUGAGUGCAUGAGAUGUAGUCGCGAUGAAACUGGUCCCUGAGCAGUUGCAAAUUUAUCUCUUCAUGAACCAGGUCCCAACGUUGGUAGUUUGUCAAUCAUCAAAACUAGGACUUAACAAUAGUGAAUCUUUUCGAUGAAGGCGACAAGGUCCGUGGGGUAUGACAGUCAAUGAAAUGAGAGAACGACGAUCAAAAUCCCAACAGAGACAAAGAAUCUUAGAUGGUUUCUGUAAAGAAACAACUAACCGAAAAUGUACCUAUAUCUAUGUUGCUCGAAUUCUCCCAAAAUGUUGCCCCACAUGUGUUGGAUUCUCCAAGAAUACACUACUUUUGGACUAUCCAAACACGCAUCCAACAGUAUUUUUGAAGAGUCCGACCUAAGCUUACCACGAAUGUGCUUAUGCUAUAAGUUCAUAUGUCUAAACUAUACAAAUUAUACCUUGGUGCAAUGUACUUGACGUAUCCAACACGCGUCCAACAGUAUUUUUGAAGCGUCUGAGCUAAGUUUACCACGAAUGUGCUUAUACUAUAAGUUCAUAUGUCUAAACUAUACAAAGUAUACCUUGGUGCAAUGUACUUGACGUAUCCAACACGCGUCCAACAGUAUUUUUGAAGAGUCUGAGCUAAGUUUACCACGAAUGUGCUUAUACUAUAAGUUCAUAUGUCUAAACUAUACAAAGUAUACCUUGGUGCAAUGUAUUUGACGUAUCCAACACGCGUCCAACAGUAUUUUUGAAGAGUCCAAGCUAAGUUUACCACGAAUGUGCUUAUACUAUAAGUUCAUAUGUCUAAACUAUACAAAGUAUACCUUGGUGCAAUGUACUUUACGUAUCCAACACAUGUCCAACAGUAUUUUUGAAGAGUCCAAGCUAAGUUUACCACGAAUGUGCUUAUACUAUAAGUUCAUAUGUCUAAACUAUACAAAGUAUACCUUGGUGCAAUGUACUUUACGUAUCCAACACACGUCCAACAGUAUUUUUGAAGAGUCCGAGCUAAGUUUACCACGAAUGUGCUUAUAAAGUUGAUAUGUCUAAACUAUACAAACUAUACCUUGGUGCAAUGUACUUGGUGUAUCAGCUGGUUCUUCUUGUGAUAAUGUAGCAUCAGAUAAUUGAACUUCAAGUCCUGAAACCGGGACGAUUGCUUGAUUCUCUUCUUCGUUAGAGUAUCCUGCAACGACCAGAGGCGAAUCUAGAAUUUAAACUUUAUGAGUUCUGAACACUAAUACACGGGCUAUCUCUGCGCGUACCUGCACUAGUAGUACUGUCAUAAUUUUGCGAAGUUGAAAACGAAGAGUUGUUCAACACUUUUUGUCUUCUCAGUUGAUAGUUUCGUCUACGUCUAGCUAAAUGUUUUUCCCUCUCCUCAUUGCUCAUUGUUUGCCUUCUCAAUCUAUCGCGAAUUCUGCGACGCUCUCUCUCUUUUUCUUUCUGUGCAUUCCUCCAGUUCUUUACAACAUGCCAUUCUUUACUGUCAUCAGAUAACUCUUCAGUAGCCAUUGCACCAGAUAUUCUUCAAGUUUUUAUCAGGUCUUGCAACAAAAUUUUUGUAUUUUCCAAUCAGAACCAAAUGGACCACGACGAUGACAACAGCAAUAACAUAUCCAAUGUAAUCCUGGGGGAUGGGGUCUGGGGACGGCAAAGUGUAUGCAGAUAAAAGUAGUUAUGAAAAGGAGCCGCAACAAUAAAGAAAACAAAACAACUACUAAGGAAAUCAGUACAUAACAUUCAGAUAAAAGAGCAGUAACAAAUAUCAAGCCAAUACUACGACAGACACAAUGCUCUUGACUACCACCAAGCCUAGAACCAAAUCAACAAAAAAAGAUUAAUAUUGGAACAAAAUGAAUCUGAAUAAAGAAUACAGAUAAACAUCCAGUACCCCCGAACUAUGGUCAAAGUUGCUACGACACACUCCAACUCAAUUUUAGCAUAUUUUUGUCACCCUUUUGUGCUGACGUGACACCUUUAUUACAUAAAAUGAGGUCCACGUCAAAGGUCAAAGGUGCGACGUCAGCUAAAAAGGUUGACAAAAGACGCCACGUCAGCUAAAAAGAAUGACAAAAUACGCUAAAAUUUAGUUCAAGGGGUAAUAGGACCCCGUGAAAUUGGAGUGUGUCUUCCUAGAAAAUUUGAUUAUAAUUCACAGGAUACAAGAUGCGUUACGCUAAAGAAUAUAAAGAACUUUAACUAUAGAAUGUGAAGCCUUUGGUCAAGUGUUACAAGGGUUUAGACGCACGUCAUGAGUUUAAAAUUUAUAAAAAGUUAGAGAGCCGAACCCAUUAUUCCAAUUUCGAAAUGCAUGCAAACUGACCCUCCAGAAUUUUUCGCUUGCAAAAGAUUUUAGGUCAUAGAUAAUACACUUCCACCUCGAGCGUAACUCUUUAUCGACUAAAUCACUCUUUGUAAAAUCAAUGAACCACAAAGGUUGAUAUGUAACUAAUUCAUAUCACGUCUAAUUUCAUUUCGAUGUAAAAUGAAAUACCAAUUCCAAUAUUCGAUUAAAACACCGGACAAGAAACGAAAAAAAAUCAGAAUUACCUUAACUUUUAACACCACAAUUACUAUAUAUUCCACGUCCUUAAUCAUCCAUAACACAUAAAUCUUCAGUCAUAUAAAAACACAAUUUUUUAAAGAAAUAAUUUAAUAUCACAAUAAUCACGAAAAAUCCAAUAAACCAAAUGAAAAAAAAUACUUAUUUAUUUUUAAAAAACCUAAAAAAAAUGAAGAAUAAAAAUUAAUUCUUUUUAGGGACUGAAAACCUACCUGUGUUGAUGGUGACUGAUGGGGGAUUUGUAAAUUCAGAUUCAAAGAAGAGAAAAUUGAGGUGUUUCUUUUCUUUUCUUUUCUUUUUUUAAAUUUAAAAAAUGGGAAAAUAAAAUUAACAAAAUCUUUCAAAUGCCCUUUUUUGGUAAUUAGUUAAAGGUUUUUAAUUUUAACAAAUUAGAUUUUGCCACCUUAACACAAAAUGGAAAAAAAGAUCUGUUUUAUUUUUUCGAAAAUUGAGGAUGUUGAUCCAUUUGGCUUUAAUUAUUUAUUUAGUCCUCAUCCAAAAUUUGUAUUUAGUAAAUAUUACAUAAAUUACUAAUAUUACCUUCCAAUUUUAUUUUUAUUUCAUAAAAUUUCCAAGAUUGAAUCUUUUCCUUUCCUUUUUUGAUAUUUUCUUGGUGGAGUAACCAGGAAGUAAAUAACAUAGUUUUUUUUAUAUUUGUAUUAUAAUUUGUCUUCUUUAAAUAUUUGUAUUAUAAAAAUUUGUUUACUAUGCCUCAAUUGCAAAAAAUUAAGAAUUCGGUGACAUAAAUCUUCACUGAUCAUGUUGCUCCCUACAUGAGCUUCGAUUAACCAAAUAUGAACUUGUUAUACAAAUGUGGUCGCAGACCUUACCCCUACCUCGUGCAGAUAGAGAGGUUGUUUUCGAAAGAUCCUUGGCUCAAGCGUAACAAAUUCAAGUACAAAGAACAGGAAAACAAUGAGGGAAACAUAACAACUAAACAGGAAGCUUUGUGCUCAAUUAGAAGGCUGAAACUGGAUUUCAUGUACAUUAGCAAAGUACUGGAUUUCCCCGGAUCCUGCGCAUAGCGGGAGCUUUAAUGCACCGGGCUGCCCUAGCAAAGUACUCAAGAUCCUAGUUGAAAAAAGCCUAUAAACUUUGGAGAAAAUGACAAUAACCAAGUGUGGAGACAUGGAGUCUAUUUCAAAAACACCAUAUUCCUCCUCCCUAUGCUGGCAUGUACAGACCUAGUAUUUCAUACGCUCGAGCGCUGUAUACUCGCGCUUCUAGUUUUCAACGAAAGACAGAAUAUCGAGAUCAUAUGGCAUGUACAAAUGUCAUCUCCAGGCAGAAGAAGUAGCUAAAGCUCUAUUUUUCCAUCCGAGAUAGAGUGCUCCUUCGCUUUCUGCAUAUCGAUAAUGUGGGCUGUACUCCUUCAACAUGUCGUUGAUGGUCUCACCAACCGAUGGGCUCAACUGGCAUUGUGUAAAUCCAGCCAUCAUAAGUCUCAACCGCCAUUUUCCGAAGAGUUCAUGCCUUUCCACUCUGUCAGCCCCUUCACAUGCUAUUAUGUUGACAACGUCUCGUGCCACACAGUGCUCUUCUGCACUGAUCCGCUCCUUGUUGUCCCUAGGGCGAGCUGCAUCAAUUGACUCGAACAUUGCUGUAUAGUAAUCAAGAGUUUCGCGGAAUCUUGGAAGGAAAGGGGCAGUGUUGGUGUUCGAUUCUUGUUCAACCAAUGUCACAAUUUUGGGAGACAGACUUUUAACUAGUCUUAAUAGGCGGUCUCGAUGAUUGAUAGUGCUUACACUCUCGUCUGGCAUGUGGUGCAACAUAUAAGGGAAGUUUACCGCCAGCACUUCUCCGUACCUAACUUGAAGGUUCGAAAGUUGGACCUCGCAGCCUGAUAAUGCAGCACCAUGGAAUUCGAAAGGAACUCCACAUGAUUUGGCAACUUCUGCUAGCCUUUCGCCCACUAUCUGAAGUCCUCCACCGCGUGCAUAAGCUGAUUCGGAAUCAUCAACACCUGUGAUACGAACAAAUGGGGGUCCACCAGGCCGAUGAGCAAGAUCGUGGAGGAGGAAUAUCCACUGACUUCCCUGUGCAAUCUGAAAAUCAAUGAUGUGGAUUCUGUUUUCAUUCAUCAUCGCUUCCCUGAUGACGACAUUGGCAGACAUAUAAGCGAAUUUAUAGUACGGGCACAUGUUAUAGAUGACUUGCAUGUAAGACAAUAAUUCCGAGCCAGUUGGUUCUUCGCACUUCAAUUUUUUGUAUAUGAUGCUUCCUGUCGAUAGUAGUCGUGCUCUAAGCCCUUCCAACACGUAUGCACCCAACCGUUCCAUAGGUUCCCCGGAGACAGACACCCGUUGCUCUAAAACGUCCAUAAGAACUUCAGCAGUUGAUAUAUCAGCAUCUGACACUGCUUCAGAACAAGCAUCGAGCAACUCUUUCAAGUUCAAGCUCGGGGCCAAGUCCAACACUCGGUUCCACCUUGUCAAGGAAGACGGUUUUAUAACCACAUCAUUGAAAGACCAACUGCUGCUGUUGUCAGUAUCGGAUUCAGGCCCCAGUAACUUAUUCUCAAGCUCCCGCAGCACGUGUCUCAGGUCACCAUCAUCAACUCCUGAAUACCGACUCAAAGGUGAACCGCAGGCGUUAUCAGACAUGUAUGACUGCGAACAUUGCGGAGAGAAGGGACUCCUAUUGGAUGAGAUGCUCAAGGCAGGAGGUGAAUCAUAGACGAUAUAGUCAGUAGCCGGUGACGAAUCCAGAGUGAAGAAUUGUUCGUUCUGCGCCUGAAAAGAAAGCUGCGUCCGUGAGCCGUGACUAUCUUUGCAGUUGUUCUUAAAAACACGGUAAGGGGCGCAUUGCUGCAUUGGCUGAUUGUACAAUGCGUGGACGCUGCCACACAUAUGGGGUCUCUCGGAUGCUUGCAUCUGGAACGACUAAGAAGAGGUAGAGUGAUUUCAAACAACGUUUCAGACAAAAGCUAUAAACCACACACUCAGUGAUGGAAGCACAAUGAGAUCAACAAGUCUCUCUCGACUAAAGUGAUCACAACAUCUCAAGGAGCUGCAACAUCAUGUGACAAUGUCAACUCCGAUGAACUAGAGAAGGAUUUGCUACUCCGAUGAUAACUAACAGAAUCUGCCAAGAAUGAAAAUCACAAUCAGUAUGCUGGAUCGGAGGAAUAAGAAUUUGGCAAACUGAUAAUCAUAAUCACAAGAGAUUGUUACAAAAGAACAAAGAAUCAGAUACGAAAAGAGCAAAAGCUAAAUACGAACAUGCUCAAGAAAAAUGGAUAAGAUACAAAACUAUUAUCAUUCAUUGAGGAAACCAUUCUUCGGAUAAUAACAUCCAAACGUUCCUAUACUUAAUCCAAGAGUUUCAACAAUCCAUACAUCUAGAAAAGUUAAAGACAACCGAAAGGAACUCAGAUCAAUAGUUACUAAAGAAUUGAUUCACCAAAGUUAUAACUUAGCAUAUGCAUCAAUCUUAUGAUAACUUAAAGAAACUAAGAAAAUGAAUAAGCAUAGAAACCUAAAACAACCAAAACUCUGAUAAGCUAGAAAACAAAAGAAAAGGGCAGCCCGGUGCACUAAAGCCACCGCUAUGCACGGUGUCUGGGGAAGGGCCCCACCACAAGGUGUAUCGUACGCAGUCUUACCUUGCAUUUCUGUCAGAGAUUGUUUCUAAGGCUUGAACCCGUGACCUCCUGGUCACAUAACAACAACUUUACCAGUUACUCCAAGGCUCCCCAGAAAACUAAAGAAUUCCAAGAAAAAAACAAACCAAAGAAUAGACCUAAAAGAUUUCAAAGACUAGACUUUUCUUCACACCAUGAAUAAAUUGAACACAAAGGAAAGUCCAAAAUUACAAUCAAAAGACAAAUCCUCUUACUCAACAACAUAGAAAUCAUAACUUUAUACAAAACAAAUCUCCCACCACCCCACCAAAAAAAAGAUUAAGAAUUGCCCAACAAGAAAAAAAAUGAACUUCAAUACUAAAACACGUAGAACAAACACUAAAAAAAAAACAACAACAUAAAACUCAAACUUUAUACAUAAUAAGGGUUGCCCGGUGCACUAAACCGCUGUGCGUGGUGUCCGGCCGUCUGGGUAAGGCCACCACAAGGAUAUAUUGUACGCAGUCUUACCCUACAUUUUUAGCCGUUCAAGGAAGGGCCCACCACAAGAGUAUAUUGUAUGCAGCCUUACCUUGCAGCCAAAGUAUUUCCAAGACUUGAACCCGUGCCUCCUGGUCACAUGGCACCAACUUUACCAGUUCCAAAACUUUAUACAUACCAUACAAAAAAAAUCACUACUUAUACUCCCAAAUACAUAAAGAUCAAAACUUAAUACAAAAAACACACAAAAAUAUCACUAAUUAUGCUCCCCCAACAACAUAAAUAUCAAAACUUCAUACAAAACAUACAAAAAGAUCACCAAGUAUAAGCAAAAUACAUAAAAAAAAAAAAAAACUUUACUUAUGAACCUAUAAACUAAACAAGAUCAACUCAAAACCUCAAACUAUAAACUAACAAAUUCAACACUUUACAUAAAUUAAUGAACCUGUAUUAGUACUAAUUACCAAAGAAUAACAAACAACAAUCUUGUGUACCAUAUAAACAAAAACAAGAAAAGGAACAAGAAGAACAAACCUUGAAAAUUGUAAUGAAUUCAGAUUUUUUGCUAUGUAUUUUGUUGAAUGUUGAAAACAAUGAAUGGAGUGUUUGGUUACUCCAUAUUAAUACCUUUAUAUAGUCAAAAUAUUUGAAAAUUAGACAAAUAAAAUGCCAUUAUUCUUAGAAAUAACUACCUCAAAUGCCACUUACAUACAAUAAAUAUAUAAUAUAAGACCAAAAAAACUAUACUUUAUUGGGUCCACGUGCAUGUGUUUUAUGUACUUUAAUUACAAUUUUUUUUUUUUGCUUUUAUUAGAAGAAUAUUCUCUCCGCGGCGAAUUACGCGAACUAUAAUAAGUGAUUAUUAAUUGAAAUUGACUUAACAUUUUUCUAUAGAAAGUUCCCCGAUUCAUUUUACUUGUCAGGUUAUAUUUUUUAUACGAUAUUUAAUAAAAUGUAUAGUAAAAAGAUAAUACUUUUUUUCUUCAUCACAUUAAACUUUCUACCAUUUAUUGAAAUGAGGUUAAAGAUGAAAAUAAAUAAGUGAUUAAUUAUAUCUUAUUUUUUUAAGAUGACGACUGUUUUGGAUUGGUUAUAUUAGUAAAUAUGAUAACUAAACUGGAUCGAAAGAGAUAAUAUUUGAAGUUGAAAUUAUGCUUAAAUCGAAACUUUUAAUUAAAAGCGAUAAGACCCAACGCCUAACGUCCAACGCUAUGUUUUUUUUACUUGUCAUGUUAUAUUUUUUUGUACGAUAUAUAUUUAAUAAAACAUAUAGUAAAAGGGUAAUACUCUUUUUUUUCAUCACAUUAAACUUUCUCCCAUUUAUUGAAAUGAGGAUAAAGAUGAAAAUAAAUAAGUGAUUGAUUAUAUCCUAAUUUUUUAAGAUGGCAAUUGUUUUGAAUCGGUUAUUUUUAAUAAAUAUGAUGACUAAAAUGGAUCGAAGGAGAUAAUAUUUGAAUUUAAAAGUGAUAAGACCUAAUGGCCAACGGCCAACGCUCAAUUAUAUUUCACAGCGGUAAUAAAAAGGUGUUAAAUUUUAGUCUUUAUGAACACACGAAGAAUAAAAAGGUGGUUUUUAAAUAUGUUUAUUGAUGACACAUUCAUUGAAUCAUGCCUAUGUCACCAUGGAAAAAUUAUCGGAUUAAAUUUAAUUUCACGACGUUGAAGAUACAUCCAUUUAUUAUAUGCUUCAUUUGAUAUAUAUUACUUAUAUUAAAACUAAUUAAUGUACGAAACGUGUCUUUCAUAAAUAUACUCGUUACUUAACCAUAAUUAAUUAGGUGAAUUAUGUUUUUAUGCUAAUUUUAAUUGUGAAUGCUAAAUUGUUUGAUGUAAUAUAAAUAUCAAGUUUAAAUAAGUAUUUCUCUCCAUUAUAUGAUAACUAAAUAAUUAUUUUUGCUAAUAAUGAAUUUCGAGACAUGAAAUGAAUUGAAAAAUUAAGAACGUCUCAAUGAAUCGUUUAAUUUCUUUGUGACAAAACAAAACAAAACAAAACAAAACAAAACAAAGGAUUAUGUCGUAAAUCACGUUAUAUAUUAAUUGAUUUAAAGUCAAAUGGUUCAAAUUAGGAAUUGUUAAAGAUCAAAUUAUUAUUUUAAUUUUUUCCAACUUAAAUUAGAUUUUUUCGUCACAAUUUUGACAUUGAGAUGCUAUUUUCACAUUACUUCCACAAACUAUUAUUAUGAAACUACUCUUAGUGAUUUUUGAAUUUCUUGAACUGUAUGAUAAAUAAGAAAAUAUGUUAACUUUCAAUUUUAUACUCAAGAUGGAUCAAACAUUUUCUCAAGUACUAGAUUGGAUAAUUCAACUGAGAUUAUAUAUAUAUAUAUAUAUAACGAGUAAUUUUCUAUCAUUUUAGAACGAGUCAAGUAAUCCUUAAAUUAUACCCGAAGUCGAUAUUACAUAUCUUUACUUUAUGGGCAUUACUCCUAAACUCAUCUUUUAUGUAUUUUUGUGCUCCUUUGUGCUGACCUGGAUGUCAAGCCAGCACAAAAGGAGCACAAUAUAUUCUGCUAUUUGUCAACCACGUCAGUAAAAAGAAGCACAAAACAAUUUUAAAAAAAAUGAGUUUAGAGGGUAAUAACUCUCGUAAAGCAUAGGUGUGCAUUAACAACUUAGGGAUCAUUUGGUUGGGAACAAGUUAUCUCGAGAUAAUUAAUCUCGGGAUUAACUAUUCACCAUAUAUAUGUGAUAACUUAUCCCAUCAGUAAGACAUAAAUAGUGGAAUAAAUAAUUUCUUGACUAACUAAUACCUUCAACUAAAUAUAAAAUGAAAUAAUCCUGCAUUUUAUCUUGAAACUGUCAUAACUUAUUCCUCACACCAAACGAUCCCUUACGAAGGUGUGGUAAUGGCAAAUUGAGUAAAUAAGAGGUGUAAUAAAGGGUAAAUUAUUGUGGGUCCACAAGACCGCGUUUGGUUUGACACUUGUUUGUUCCACGAAGGUGUCUUAUACACCACAACAUAUUUCCCAUAUGCUUUUUAAGUUUUAAUUAAUUAAUCCUACAAUAUUAAACAAAAUUGUACUCUUUUUAUUUAUAUAUUUUUAUUUAAAGGUCAAUUAGUGCAAAUUAAAAUCUCUAACACAUUAACCUAAAACGAAAAGUCAGGAGUAAACUGGACAUAAUUAUCAAAUAAUUGAUUUUCAUAUAACAAUAUACAUUUAAUUUAAUUUUCUGGCAAAUCAUCCUAUUUAAUUAAUAUGGUUUCAUGUAUUUUAAGUAGAGAUAAUAAGGCUUAGGCUGUAGUUAUCAAGAUUAAUUAGUGGGCGGUUACUUUUUUUUAAAGAAAAAAAAAGGGAAAAAGGGCCUAAAUAUGCCUUAUCUGUUGAAAAUGAUAUAAAAUUACUACUACAUUCAUCUUUUCAAUUAUAUUUCUUUAUUUUAACGACCCUCAUAUUAAAUCCCCAAAAAAAUUUCAUUAAUGAUUUGCGCCACGUCACUGACCCUCGGAGAAGGAAAAACAGAAGGUAAUUAUAUAAUGGGAAAUUGGAUCUUCACCGACAAGAUUAUUAUAUAAUGAAAAAAAAAUGGAAGGUAAAUAUGAGUCGAGUCAAAUAUUUUAUUCAUUUUGUUAACUCAUUUUUAAUUAGUUUAUAUUCGAUUUGACCUGCUCGUUUGGUACGCUAUUUUAAGUUUUAACAAAAGAAUUUUUUUUUUAUCUUCUUAAGUUCUAUCUCUUUCACCUUUAUUUUUUUUCCUUUCUUUUGUGGACGUGAGGGACAAUCCUUUUUUUUGCUUUUGUAAUUAUAAGUCUUUCUUUUUUAUUUCUACUUUUCAAGACCCUACAAGAAUAAUGAAUAUAUUGAAAAAAAAUAAAGCACAACUUGAUGUGAUAUGUCUACUUUUUAACAUCUAAGAAUUUAUCAAAUAAUAUUACUUAAAUUGAAUUAGGAAACAUAAUUCAAAUUAAUUCUCUUCAUUUGAAAUAAAAUGUGAUAUGAUGAAAUCUUUUUUUAAUUUAUUAUAUUCAUAUUCAAAGAAAGAGAAUACAAAAAUUUUCUUUGGUAAAACCUUCAAAGUUUGAUGGGCCAAACAAGUAUAAAAAUCUUGGGCUAAGCCAUUUUGGGCCUGGCCAAACAAGGAUCUUAUGGUUGGUUAGAAAAAAAAAAUGUUAAAAAACAUUAUUCUGGUUGAUUAUAUUUUAAUUUCAAUUACAACUUGCAUAGAGUUUCUCUUGUUCUUUUUCCAAAUAUAUUUUUGAAGGACACUUUUCUUGAACUGAUGGUCUAUCAAAAACAAUCUCGAUUUCUAUCCCAUCGAUUAGGUUGGAGUAAGAUCCGCAUACGCAUCAUGCACCUCCCAAACUCCACUUAUGGGAUCACAUGAGUGUAUAUAUGUUAUUGUUGUAAUUAUUGGCAACCCACAAAGAAAGAGACAAAAAUAGUCAAGCAUUUGAUGAUAAUCAAUCACUCUUAAUUAACUAAACUCAUUAUUAGGUUAAUUUGUUAUGAUAAAAUAUCUUGAUCCCAUAUAAGUAUGCAUGAUUUAAAAAUCCAUUCAGAUAUUACACAUAUAUAUACUCCUACCUAAGAGAAAAUAACACUAGACAACUUUUCCAAUAUAUAAUAAAAACAUACAAUAAUUUCCCUUUCUCUUUAAAUUUGAAGGACUCGCAGGGAUGCUAGAUGAGCGUGUUGAAGAUAUAAAUAUUAGAAAAUCAAUAAAAGCCCCCCCUCUUUUUUUUUUUUGAUUCAAAGAUGAAGAGAAGUAUCAACAUCUGAAUGCGAACCAUCAAAUUUGACCUUCGUCAAGUUAGUAGUGUUACUAACUCGCGACUUGUCCAAAGUUCGCGAAUGAACUUCCGGCCAGAGGGAGAGAGAAAGUUGGGAAGACGAUUCGCGAUUUUGUGGGGAAAAUAGCUUGUUAUUAUAGAGUGGUUGAUGAUGAUAGUGAUGAUGAUCGCGAUCGAUAUUAUUAUCAUGCAUUUGCAUAGUAAUAGAAGGAUCAUAACUAUGUAAUAGCAUCAUUUUUAAAAGCUCUUUCUCUUGCCUCAUUUCUUUCACCUUUCUUGCAACAAAGCAAUAGAGGAAGAACAAAUGGCCAUUUUUUAUAAGAAAUAUUUUUGUGUUUAUAGAAACUAAUAAGGAAAGAUGGGAUAUAUUUUGUACAUUGGAUGAGUUACAUUUUAAGCAAUGCAUGGGGUAUUUAUUUGGAAAGUGGGUAGGGGUACUUUGGUCAUUUACUAGUUGUUUUAGAGCCUAGCAUAUGAUUUAAAUGAAGAAAUUAAAAAGAAGAAUCAUCAAAGAAAGCACAAAGUCCAAAAGGAAAAAGAUGUG